CGGAGGGGGCGAGCGUUGUUCGGAUUUACUGGGCGUAAAGCGUGCGUAGGUGGCUUCCCAAGUAAGAAGUGAAAGCCCAGGGCUUAACCCUGGAAUUGCUUUUUAAACUGGGUCGCUAGAAUUUAGGAGAGGCAGAUGGAAUUCCGAGUGUAGAGGUGAAAUUCGUAGAUAUUCGGAGGAACACCAAUGGCGUAAGCAGUCUGCUGGACUAACAUUGACACUGAGGCACGAAAGCGUGGGGAGCAAACAGGAUUAGAUACCCUGGUAGUCCACGCCGUAAACGAUGUGUGCUAGUUAUCGGGCAAUUUAUUGUUCGGUGACGCCGCUAACGCAUUAAGCACACCGCCUGGGGAGUACGGUCGCAAGAUUA
rnacentral:rRNA from 1 species